rnacentral:rRNA from 1 species
UACGGGGGGGGCCAGCGUUGUUCGGAAUUACUGGGCGUAAAGGGCGCGUAGGCGGCCACCGAAGUCGGACGUGAAAUCCCUCGGCUCAACCGGGGAACUGCGUCUGAUACUGGGUGGCUCGAAUCCGGGAGAGGGAUGCGGAAUUCCAGGUGUAGCGGUGAAAUGCGUAGAUAUCUGGAGGAACACCGGUGGCGAAGGCGGCAUCCUGGACCGGUAUUGACGCUGAGGCGCGAAAGCCAGGGGAGCAAACGGG